rnacentral:lncRNA from 1 species
UAAGGAAUAGAGAAAAAUAGUGUGCUUUGAUAUAAGGAACAGAGAAAAAUUACCCAAAACAUCAAAGAAUACAGAAUUUGAUUACCCCCUCCGACGCUUAAGGAAACAUGGAAUGACAAUUUAUCCUUGUCUCUUCGGGCCCUUUAACUGAGUGAUCAAAGAUGAUGGUCAGAUAUAACUGGUAUUUAUUUUUUUCAAAUUGUGCGCC